UACGUAGGGUGCAAGCGUUAAUCGGAAUUACUGGGCGUAAAGCGUGCGCAGGCGGUUUUGUAAGACAGGUGUGAAAUCCCCGGGCUUAACCUGGGAACUGCAUUUGUGACUGCAAAGCUGGAGUGCGGCAGAGGGGAAUGGAAUUCCGCGUGUAGCAGUGAAAUGCGUAGAUAUGCGGAGGAACACCGAUGGCGAAGGCAAUCCCCUGGGCCUGCACUGACGCUCAUGCACGAAAGCGUGGGGAGCAAACAGG
rnacentral:rRNA from 1 species